rnacentral:rRNA from 1 species
GAUGAACGCUGACAGAAUGCUUAACACAUGCAAGUCUUUGGCGAAUCUGUGCUUGCACAGGCUAGCCAAGGCGGACGGGUGAGUAACGGGUAAAGAACUUGCCCUGCAGACAGGGAUAACAGACGGAAACGACUGAUAACACCUGAUACAGUGGCCGGCACGCAUGUGCCUGGCAAUGAAAAGAGAUGCUGCAGGAGAGCGUUGCGUCCUAUUAGCUUGUUGGUGAGGUGACGGCUCACCAAGGCGAUGAUAGGUAGCCGGCCUGAGAGGGUGAACGGCCACAAGGGGACUGAGAUACGGCCCUUACUACUACGGGAGGCAGCAGUGGGGAAUAUUGGACAAUGGGGGCAACACUGAUCCAGCAAUUCUGUGUGCACGAAGAAGGUUUUCGGAUUGUAAAGUGCUUUCAGCAGGGAAGAAGAAAGUGACGGUACCUGCAGAAGAAGCGACGGCUAAAUACGUG